rnacentral:tRNA from 2 species
GGAGAAUAUGCCCACGGUGGGCAGGCUGUUUUGAACGCAGCCAUACGGUAGACAUUCCGGGGGUUCGACUCCUCUAUUCUCCGC